rnacentral:rRNA from 1 species
UACGAAGGGGGCUAGCGUUGCUCGGAAUCACUGGGCGUAAAGAGCUCGUAGGCGGUCUGUCGCGUCUGCUGUGAAAACUCGGGGCUUAACCCCGGGCCUGCAGUGGGUACGGGCAGACUAGAGUGCGGUAGGGGAGACUGGAAUUCCUGGUGUAGCGGUGAAAUGCGCAGAUAUCAGGAGGAACACCGGUGGCGAAGGCGGGUCUCUGGGCCGUAACUGACGCUGAGGAGCGAAAGCGUGGGGGGCGAACAGG